rnacentral:rRNA from 1 species
GCUUUGGCGGCUCCGGCCGCCAAAGGACCUUCAAACUCCAGUCAGUAAACGCAGACGUCUGAUAAACAAGUUAAUAAACUAAAACUUUCAACAACGGAUCUCUUGGUUCUGGCAUCGAUGAAGAACGCAGCGAAAUGCGAUAAGUAAUGUGAAUUGCAGAAUUCAGUGAAUCAUCGAAUCUUUGAACGCACAUUGCGCCCCUUGGUAUUCCGGGGGGCAUGCCUGUUCGAGCGUCAUUACAACCCUCAAGCUCUGCUUGGAAUUGGGCACCGUCCUCACUGCGGACGCGCCUCAAAGACCUCGGCGGUGGCUGUUCAGCCCUCAAGCGUAGUAGAAUACACCUCGCUUUGGAGCGGUUGGCGUCGCCCGCCGGACGAACCUUCUGAACUUUUCUCAAGGUUGACCUCGGAUCAGGUAGGGAUACCCGCUGAACUUAAGCAUAUCAAUAAGCGGAGGAAAAGAAACCAACAGGGAUUGCCUUAGUAACGGCGAGUGAAGCGGCAACAGCUCAAAUUUGAAAGCUGGCCCUUUUAGGGUCCGCAUUGUAAUUUGUAGAGGAUGAUUCGGCGAGGGCUCCUGCCUAAGUCCCCUGGAACGGGGCGUCAUAGAGGGUGAGAAUCCCGUAUGCGGUAGGUUGCCUUAGCCAUGUGAAUCUCCUUCGACGAGUCGAGUUGUUUGGGAAUGCAGCUCUAAAUGGGAGGUAAAUUUCUUCUAAAGCUAAAUACCGGCCAGAGACCGAUAGCGCACAAGUAGAGUGAUCGAAAGAUGAAAAGCACUUUGGAAAGAGAGUUAAAAAGUACGUGAAAUUGUUGAAAGGGAAGCGCUUGCAACCAGACUUGUCCGCAGUUGCUCAGCCGGUCUCCUGACCGGCGUACUCUUCUGCGGCCAGGCCAGCAUCAGUUCGGGCGGUCGGAUAAAGGCCUCGGGAAUG